AAAUGCGAUAAGUAAUGUGAAUUGCAGAAUUCAGUGAAUCAUCGAAUCUUUGAACGCACAUUGCGCCCGCCAGCACUCUGGCGGGCAUGCCUGUUCGAGCGUCAUUUCAACCCUCAGAGCCCCUUGCGGGAUCUGGCGUUGGGGAUUGGCAUCCAGCCAGCCCCGAAAUCUAGUGGCGGUCCCUCCGCGACCUCCCCUGUGCAGUAGCGAUACCUCGCAGCGGGACAGCGGUCUGACCACGCCGUAAAACCCCCAACUUCUCAAGGUUGACCUCGAAUCAGGUAGGAAUACCCGCUGAACUUAAGC
rnacentral:misc_RNA from 1 species